ACGUAGGGGGCAAGCGUUGUCCGGAUUUAUUGGGCGUAAAGGGCUCGUAGGCUGUUCGGUAAGUCAGGUGUGAAAACCCAAGGCUCAACCUUGGGACGCCACUUGAUACUGCUGUGACUAGAGUCCGGUAGAGGAGAUUGGAAUUCCUGGUGUAGCGGUGAAAUGCGCAGAUAUCAGGAGGAACACCAACGGCGAAGGCAGAUCUCUGGGCCGGUACUGACGCUGAGGAGCGAAAGCGUGGGGAGCGAACAGG
rnacentral:rRNA from 1 species